rnacentral:rRNA from 1 species
GAUGAACGCUGGCGGCGUGCCUAAUACAUGCAAGUCGAGCGAACGGAUGAGAAGCUUGCUUCUCUGAUGUUAGCGGCGGACGGGUGAGCAACACGUGGAUAACCUACCUAUAAGACUGGGAUAACUUCGGGAAACCGGAGCUAAUACCGGAUAAUAUUUUGAACCGCAUGGUUCAAAAGUGAAAGACGGUCUUGCUGUCACUUAUAGAUGGAUCCGCGCUGCAUUAGCUAGUUGGUAAGGUAACGGCUUACCAAGGCAACGAUGCAUAGCCGACCUGAGAGGGUGAUCGGCCACUGGAACUGAGACACGGUCCAGACUCCUACGGGAGGCAGCAGUAGGGAAUCUUCCGCAAUGGGCGAAAGCCUGACGGAGCAACGCCGCGUGAGUGAUGAAGGUCUUCGGAUCGUAAAACUCUGUUAUUAGGGAAGAACAUAUGUGUAAGUAACUGUGCACAUCUUGACGGUACCUAAUCAGAAAGCCACGGCUAACUACGUG